rnacentral:tRNA from 1 species
GUCUGGGUGCUCAGUUGGUUGAGCACCUGACUUCAGUUCAGGUCAUGAUCUUGUGGUCUGUGGGUUCAAGCCCCAUGUCAGGCU